rnacentral:lncRNA from 1 species
GAAUCCUCGGGCCGCCUUGUGAGGGGGGUGUUGCUGUCAUCUCCAGGGCUAGGUGACAGCUUGUUGCAGGCCCCACAGCCAGGGCCUCAGGGAUGGGGAUCUGGCCAUGUCUGUUUUAAGCCGAACAGGCUGUUCUUCCAUGUGGAGUCUCCCUCCGUGAUCCCCUGGGGUCAAGUCCUGACGGCUGGGUUCGCUCCCUCAGUGACUCCGACAGCUCUUGUCUCAGAGGUGCUGGGGUGAAGGCUGUGUGGGGCCAGGCCCCUGGGGUCAGACUUCUUGCCCCUUCUGCCCGGGGGACGCUCUGGGCUCAGGGUGGGGCCAGACAGCUACAUCACAGGGACACUUGUUAUGGGUCGGGGUCCAGGGAGCACCCAGCCAGUGGAGUGUUGGAGGCCACUGAGAGGGACAUGACUGCGGUGUCCGAGCAGCGUCGUGGCCACCCUGUGUGCCCACUCCCUGGUGGACAGACCUACGUCACCUGGGGAUUGCAGAGCAAAAGGAGUGCUGUUGGGGUGAUGUGAGGUUGGGGUUCUGUUUCUUGCUGUGAAUUGGGUCAUGACCUGUGUCGGAGCGUUCUCUGGCCUCCACUUGCCCCUGCAGACCAGGGUGUCUGGAGGGUUGUCGGGGGCUUGAUGGAGGAAUUGCUGACCACACCAUGCAGGAAGAGGUGGGUCCCAGGGACACAGGAACUUUGGGGUCAGCCGGUUCCAGAUUCAGUUGCAGAGGAGCAUCCCCCUUGCUUAGCCAGGGAGGGGAAGCCCUCUUCUCACACCCGGCCUGGGUAUGUUGUGGGAGAGUCAUUUCCCAGGAGGAAAUGGGGACUGUUACCGGGGGAGGGGGUGCUGUCCCCAGGCAGCAGCAAGCGUCCCUUACGCUUGGGCUGUCCGAGACCCUGCUGCUCUAGGCGGUUGUGAUGGGGGAGCCCCACAGGGCACAGAGAGCCAGCUGAAGGCGGCAGCUCUGGGUGGGAUCACAUGGAAAGGGGAGGCGAGCCGAGCCUCCCUCUUGCCAAUCUUGGUCUCCCCACAGGGUCAUAGCUCCUGGGCCCCUCACUUGUCAGACCCUCCAUUCACCAAAUUAAGGAUAAGUUUCACGAUUUCGCACUGCGGAGCCUG